GUCAACGACCUAAGCGUUGAGUGUUCUCCCCAUGUCUAAAAGACAGGGGCUUGCAGUUAACUCUAGUUGACCAGUUUAAGUCCAUCAACGGGCUACGUUUACGGUAAGUGUUCAAGAACUCACCUUGGGGUGCUUGCCAGCCCUAAGCUCUGAAACUAGAUUGUUAAACGUCCAAUGAGGUUUAGGGUCGUGCAAUCUGGAUAGUUACCGACCGUAAACAUUGACGAGGCUAACUUUAC
rfam:Scytonema millei VB511283 scaffold_16, whole genome shotgun sequence.